rnacentral:rRNA from 1 species
CCUACGUGAUGCAGCAGUGAGGAAUAUUGGUCAAUGGACGCAAGUCUGAACCAGCCAUGCCGCGUGCAGGAAGACGGCUCUAUGAGUUAUAAACUGCUUUUGUACGAGGGUAAACGCAGAUACGCGUAUCUGUCUGAAAGUAUCGUACGAAUAAGGAUCGGCUAACUCCUUGCCAGCAGCCGCGGUAAUACGGAGGAUUCAAGCGUUAUCCGGAUUUAUUGGGUUUAAAGGGUGCGUAGGCGGUCGGAUAAGUUAGAGGUGAAAUCCCGAGGCUCAACUUCGGAAUUGCCUCUGAUACUGUUCGGCUAGAGAGUAGUUGCGGUAGGCGGAAUGUAUGGUGUAGCGGUGAAAUGCUUAGAGAUCAUACAGAACACCGAUUGCGAAGGCAGCUUACCAAGCUACGUCUGACGUUGAGGCACGAAAGCGUGGGGAGCAAACAGGAUUAGAUACCCGUGUAGUC